rnacentral:lncRNA from 10 species
GAAAACUUGAAAUUAUUUAUAAAUAGAUUUGAUGCAAAAGUUUAUUCAAAUGAAAACUACUAUAAACUGAAUAUCUGUGCCCCCUCAAAAUUCAAAUGUUGACAUCUAAUCCCCAGUGUGGUGGUAUUUAGAGGUGGGGCCUUUGGGAGGUCAUUAGGUCAUGAGGGUGGAGCCCUCAUGAAUAAAAUUAGUGCCCUUAUAGAAGAGACCCAAGAGAGCUCUCUCAUCCAUUCAAGCAUGUAAAGUUACAGAGAGAAGACAGCUGUCUAUGAACCAAGAAGGAGACCCUCACCAGAUACCAAAUUUGGUUCCAUGCUCUUGUACUUCCCAACCUCCAGAAUUGUGAGAAACGAAUUUUUGGACUUCCAGAGUUGUGUAUUACAUACAAGCAAAAAACAAAGAGCAACAGCACUGGAGAAUUCAACAGAUGACAAGAACAGCUACACUAAAAAAAAGAUCAGAAAAGAAAGUAUGCCACCUGCUGUUUAUGGAAUGAAAAGAGGUCCCACAGAACUUCAAUGCUCUCAAAUACAAUUAGUAAUGGUGAAAUCCUUGUCUUCUUGCCCA